rnacentral:rRNA from 1 species
AUUGAACGCUGGCGGCAGGCCUAACACAUGCAAGUCGAACGGUAGCACAGAGAGCUUGCUCUCGGGUGACGAGUGGCGGACGGGUGAGUAAUGUCUGGGAAACUGCCGGAGGGGGGGGGAUAACAAUUGGAAAGGUUAGCUAAUACGCCAUAAUGUCGCAAGACAAAAGAGGGGGACCUUCGGCCCUCUUCCCAUCGGUGUGGCCCAGAUGGGAUUAGCUAUUUGGUGAGGUAAUGGCUACCCAAGGCGACGAUCCCUAGCUGGUCUGAGAGGAUGGCCAGCCACACUGGAACUGAGACACGGUCCAGACUCCUACGGGAGGCAGCAGUGGGGAAUAUUGCACAAUGGGCGCAAGCCUGAUGCAGCCAUGCCGCGUGUAUGAAGAAGGCCUUCGGGUUGUAAAGUACUUUCAGCGGGGAGGAAGGCGAUACGGUUAAUAACCGUAUUGAUUGACGUUACCCGCAGAAGAAGCACCGGCUAACUCCGUG